rnacentral:lncRNA from 1 species
UCUGGUGCUGGGGGGAGUGGGGGAAGCCUGGGUUCCUACAGGACAGAGGCGGAUGCCCCAAGAGCAUUCUGGAAGACGGGAUGCCUGCUGGGUCGGACACAAGUGGCUCGUGGAGCUGGUGCCCUGGCUUGGGGACAUGGGACAGACACAGGGCAGCUAGAACAACACCCAGAUCUAGGAUCCUGGGGAAUGUAGGGUGAGCCCUGGAAAAUUUCCUCCAUCGUGGGCAACGGGAUGCAGAGACCAGCAGGGGAAGUGUCCUCGGGGCACAGACGGGGCCACCCCGGGCCUCCUCUUCUUUUCAUGUCUCUUCCCUUCCCGUUUUCCAGCUGUAGAAAACGAGAGCGUUGAUUCCAGAAAACUGCAAGAUAACCAUCUGUAUCAGAAAUUCUGUUUUUUUCCCCUCUGUUCUUGGCCUGUCUCCAAAGACCGAGAAGAAAAGUUGCCCCAUAGAAAUCCCCUCGGAAGGACCAGCCAAGGCUCAGAGGAUCAGGUCUGGUAAGUUUCGGUUCCAAGUUCAUUCCCUUGGCUGCUACUGCCGACAGAGCAAAGCCCCCUUGCUUGCAAGGAUGGAUUUUUUUUUUUUUGGACACUUUUGGAGCCUAAGAAGGUGUGGAGGAGCCCACCGAGGCUCUCUUCCAGCUGCACCACAAAGGGGCUUCUGAGAGCAGGUGGAGCGUCCGGGGGUGUGGCUGGAUGAUAACACUUCAUCCCAGCAUCCCCGGCCCUCCUGAGUCUCAAGCUCGCCCGGUGGUGUGGAGAGUGUUAGCUCACAUUCCGCCCUGCAGGCCAUUGAAAUGGCUCUGACUGAAUUAGUCAAAAUGGGGGGGGGGGGCUGUCUUCUAAUCUCCCGGAAAGUCGGGGGUCAGGCAGCUCUGGCACCUUUGCAGUUCCUAGGACUCCGUCUGGUACCAGCUACCCUCUGCUCCUGAGUACUCACCUUACAGGUGCCCAGGAGAGAAACUCACUGUCCACUUCUCACCUUGGGCUCACCCAUGGACGCACCAUGUGACUGGGGAUUUAAGCUGUUGCGAUGAUGCCAGGCAGUUUUGUAUGCCUACCCUGUAAUGGGCAGGAACUAGCGUCUGGUUCCAUCACAAAGCCAGGAAGAGAUGCCGGCGGACUGGAGUGGGAGCCACAUGUGUCCCCCCCUUGGCCACCAGCACAGCUGACACUCCUUAUUCCUGUAGAUGACCCCUGUAACCUAGCGCAGCUCCUCUGCAAACAGCCGCCAGGGUGCUCACUUUCUUGAGGUUGGAAGGGAAAUCCAGAGUCACUCACAGUGUCUCACCCGCCAUGGCUUCCGCGGGGUCGCCAUGUAUGCUGAGUCUCCAGCAGCGUUCUAGCACAGUCCUCCCCUGUCAAAGAAAGGGCACAUUUUCCCAACAGAAGGCGGAAGCACUUUUCUCAUCACGUGGGCUGGCAAGCAGGAACAGCGAAUCGCGAAGCCUCAUUGCAAUGGCUGGUACCCAGGCUGGUACCCAGCGCAUCCAGUCUUCCUCGCCCACGUCUCCACUGCUUCCAUGUGCUGGGGGGCUUUCCUUGGCAGGUGACACACGCGUCGAUUUCCGUAGGGUCUGGCUCUUGGCUUUUCUACGUAGGACCGCAGUGCUUCUCCGUUACCGUCAUCACCAAACACGGAAUCCCCACCGUCCACCCGCCUCCCUCCCUGCUCUUUCUAGGCAGAAGUCUGAUUCCUUCUUUUCUCCCAGCUCGUCUGCAAUUACCUGAUGGUCUAGCUGCAGACCUCCUUCCAGUUCAGUGCGGUCAGCACGCGCCCCAGAACAAAGCACCGGACACUCGGGAACCAGGCCCACGCUUCCUCCCUCACACGCAACUGAGCGGCUCCCACCCCACAGACAACUGGACCUGAAGCUACUCUGUACCUUUCGGAUUUCACAUUUUAGAAAGAGGCAGCCGUCCUUCGAGCCCCUCCGAAAUCCUGCUGGACCUGUCGACGUAUAACUUACCUGUCCUUUGAGCUAGAACCCGGACCCUAAUGGGUUCCCUGCCGGAUUUGCAUUUUGCGAGUCAUUGGAUCUCUCAGGGCCUCAGCCUUCAGCUGCUGUCUUUGUUUCCCCUGGGACUUAUAUGACUUUUUUAUUAAUUUUAGUGCAAAUGGUAUUCUGAAACUUGGAAGCGAUUUGGAAUUGUUCUAGGUCUCUGGCCGCCAAGAACUUGGAAAAUGUACAGUCAGGGGUUGCCCGCAGUGUCAGGGGCUGUAAAGCAGAGAAGCAGCCCCGGGCCUGGGGGGGAGCCAGAGGCGAUACGCUGCCAAGCUGCUGGGCAGUGCAGGGAAGCUGCCGGCCUGGGCAGAGGUGACCCGAACCACAGACCGGGCAGUUACAGCCGUGAUCGCUCUACCAGGAAACUCUCUCAGGUUUGACUUCCACGUGGGUUGGGGGCUAUUUACAGAAGAGCGGCUGUGUUGGUGAAAGGACGUCUGAGGUCAUGCCGCUGGGGCAGACGCCUUAGUCCGCUUCUCCUCCAGGCCCGCCCUGCGCUCUGCAUGUGCGGGGUGGAUCUGUCCCCUGUCCGCAGGAGAGGAUGUGGUGCCCGCCGCUCACGUCCGGCUUGGGGCCAGGUGGCAGCUGCAGGUGGGAGGCCAAGCUUCCCAGGUGCCCCCUGGCCAGAUGGAGAUGCUUCCGGGGACCGGGUGUUUGGGAACUAGCUGUCAGUCCGCAUCUAGAACCACAUGGUCCUGAGCUCCCUGGCAGAGGGAUGUGAGUUUGAGUCAGGGAAGGCUGGCGGGGUGAGGCCGGGGCUGUGAGUUUGGCUCCGUGGCCCCAGGUGAGAAGUGGGGCCAAGACUCUCCCACUCUCUCGGGUGUGUGGGCUGAGAUGCCUCCCACCAAGUGGACCCCAGAAUCCUCACGAAGCCCCUCCUCAGGGCGGAAGGCUCGGGGGAGGGGGGCGGGGGCGUCCUCUUCCCAGCGUGACGGCACCUCCCUGCAGGCCUCCAGAAACCUCACGGGAAGACCAGCCCAGGUGGUCCAGGUCAGGACUGAAGCUGGAGAAGAUUCUCACUCCGUUCAGGACCCACCUGCCCCCAACACGAGGAAGAGCAAACCCAACCUGAGCAGAGAUGGGGGAACGCGCUCCUCCCCGGGUCCUGCUUUGGCCUCGGCUCCCUUGGUGGCUCCAGGCUGGUUUUCGGUCUUGGACAGCGUUCAAAGAUGAGACAAUGCUGUCCCAAGGGCAGGGAAAGCCAUGUCUCCCGAGAGGCCCGGCCUGUCUCCCCAAACCCUCCCUCCAGGGGCCCUUCCCUGUCUGGGCUCCCGGCCCCAGAGGAUCAGGACUCAGAAGUGAGGUUUCCACUCUGAGCAAACGUGAGAAGGGCGCAUGUGCAGGGCGCAGCCCUUGGCACCCAGGAAGACCCUGUCGGGGGGAGGGCAUCUGCAGGAGCUCGGGGGACGUGUGGCUGAGUCACUUUGCUGUACCCCUGAAACUAACACGUGCUGGGAGUCAACUACCCUUCCGCAUGAAACAUGCAUUGAAAAAAACCCAAGAAGGGUAACUUCCCCCGCUCACCGCGUUGGUCCCAGGCGCUAAGCAGAGUUUAAAUCCCCGGGAUCAGCAGGUGAACCGGUUGAGCAGCGUUUUCAAGGAGGGGCGGAGGCUUUCAUCUCCGAGGGCAGCUGAAGGGAUGCCUCCCCUCCCGAGAACGGAGCAAAGGAGUCGGAGUGCCGCGUGUUUCACAGGGGAAAGAGAAACAAUUACAGACUGCAGUAAUCCCAGUAAACAAUUAUUUGAUAAAAUGAUGAAGAUACAUAGAUUUUCAAGUCACAUAUCAUCAUAAGAUUAUUAAAGUGCUGGAAUUUUGAAUAGGAGAACAGACAAUGGACGAUAUUCAGAAGUUCAGAUAAAUAAAAACAAUCAUUUUCCUUUGCAGUGGCAAAUAGUUGAGUAAAUAUAUGGGAACCAGGAGACGCUCCCGUGGAAAACAUUCAUUAAGUCAGUGCUAUUCGGUGGGGGUGGGGGGAGUCUGGAGGGGGAGGUGGGCAGGACACAGGGAGCCAAGCCUGCCCCCCAGUAACCCUCCAGCUCCGCGUUAAAGACAGAGCCCGCCGCACAGCACAGGGGAACCAUGCCAGAGUCUGGAUAACCCGGGUGGGGAGAAAGAAUGGCUACGAGCCUAUGCGUAAUGAGCCGCUUUGCCGUGACCUGAACCUAAUGCGACCUUGUCCGUCAACUCUACUGAAAUAAAAUGAAAUCAUAAAAUAGACGAAAGACAGGUUCACGUUGUCAGGUUGAGUGGAUGUGUUAACCACGCAUGGCCUUCCUCCUUGGAAGGCCCUGCGUCCCCCAGGUGGCAGAGCUCCGACGGGAGGGAGUGAGGAGGUGGUGGAAUAUUCCAGAUGGGAGAUGCACGGGAAGGGGCUGCUCCAGCAGGUGGGGCGGCUGGUCCUGAGGCGUGUGCUGGGUCAGGCCGGCCAGCUGCCCUCUUUCUGUGAAAUACCACCAGAAGAAAUUUCCCCAACAUGGUCUUACUUAGAAGGCAUUGUGCUCACGGAAGAACAAAAUAAUUCCUUCUGCUUCGCAGUAUGUGGAAGUUCCCAGGCCAGGGAUCCAACCUGUGCCACAGCUGUGACCUGAGCCACACCAGUGACAAUGCCAGAUCCUUAGCCCGCCGCGUCACCGGGGAACUCCUCCUUUUGUUGAUAGGACACACCAUCGGAGUCUUUUUCUUCCCAAUUUUAGGUGUGUCUUGGCUUUUGUGUCCGCCUCGCCCCAGUGUUGCUUCCCCACCAAGAGCCUGGCCCGGGCCUCGAGCCCCCUCACUCAGGCUGGCAGUGCAUUCGCUGUUUUGAGCUUCGGUGACCACUCAGGUGCCAGGGGCUCCUUUAUAGCUGCGUAUUUUUCCCUGUGCUUCACCAGCCCUUCAUAGCUGGACUCCCACUGGGCCGUGGGAUGAUGGCUGGACCCGAGGGCGUUGCCCCUCUGAGCACACUGGGUCCUUUCUCCUUGCAGGACCCGCCGGGCAGAGGUUUCUCAAACACCCACAGAACCUGCCAUGUUGCUUUCCUUGUUUGUGUUUUCAUCCUUGGAACUGACAUUUGAGUCAGCUGGAAGCUGCCUGUGGAGGUCACUGCUGUCACCUGCUAGUUGAUGGAUUUUGUCUUGAAGGUGACUCCGUGCUGAAGAGACACUUCAUAAAUGGACCCCUUUCUGACCAGCCCCACAAAUCUUAGCCCAGAUUCACUGUGCCCCUUACUCUUCUCCUGCCUCUUCAUAAACCGCUAAGGACUCUUGUUGGAUCUGUGGCUGAAGAUGCCAGGAUCUGAGCCCCACAGGGUCAGCAUCUGUGUUCUGGAUGUACCACCACAAAGGGCACCCCCCAGGACACAGAGAGCGCUUGGCGGGCUUGCAGGGCCCUGAGCCCCGCGUGCAAUCAGAGUCGGGGCACCUGUCAGCCCCCGGCAACCUCCCCCUUGGCUCCGGAAGCCGUGCCCUCCGUGAGUCCAGCUCUUGCUGGGUGUGAUCGCCAGCCUUUGGUGCUGGCAGAGAGGUAGCGUCUGAUGAGCAGCCGUAUGGUAAGUUAUUCACCAAUAUUUGUGGGCUGGCCACACAGCAAUAUCACUUUUAUCUUUGCAGCGUCCAGCGGUGGGUGGGGCUGGCUCGCAUGGUUCGGGAGACCCCACGGUCAAGAGUUCAGGAGUGUUUACACCACAGAAAUGGACAAGCACUGGCAUCAAGCCCUCACCCUGCUUGGCCUGCCCAUGGCUGCGAUGCCACGGGUAGAAUCAUGGCAGGCCGUCGGACUCAGGUUACACCAAGGCUGUUAUUCCAGACUCUACCCAGGUGGGGUCGUGAGGGUUUGAAGGACAUGAUUUGAUCCAUGCAACA